UACGGGGGGGGCAAGCGUUGUUCGGAAUUACUGGGCGUAAAGGGCGCGUAGGCGGCUCGUUUAGUCGGGUGUGAAAUCCCAAGGCUCAACCUUGGAACUGCAUUCGAUACUGGCGGGCUAGAGACCGGAAGAGGUGGGUGGAAUACCCAGUGUAGAGGUGAAAUUCGUAGAUAUUGGGUGGAACACCGGUGGCGAAGGCGGCACACUGGUCCGGUUCUGACGCUGAGGCGCGAAAGCGUGGGGAGCAAACAGG
rnacentral:rRNA from 1 species